GUAGAAAACGGAUUACAAAAUGGAGAAGUGGAACCAAAUUAUUAUAAUACUUUUUUUAGUACCACCUGGGCAAGCUAUAGGAAAUAAAGUUUCCACUUUUUUGGCAUCGAAAGUUUUUGAAGAAAUGGACAAGGUUUUCCUGGAUCUAGAACAAAAUCAAAGAAAUAUUCCCAAUCAUGAAAAUAAUUGUAACAAAAGCUUGCUUCAAACAAAAGCCUCUGGCGAUAAUGUAAGUAAAGGCUCGAACUUGCAGGAAAAUGGAUAUACAUUACUGAAGGAAGCACAAGAAAAAAUUAAGAUAAUGAAAGAACUUUUUAGCACGAAAUGCUCCACCAAACCCAGUUCAUCAUCGCUAAAAUAAAAUACCAAGCCAAACGCUAGAAGUCACCUUUUUAAAUGAAUGACCUUAUGAUUGGCCUUUUCUUCCAGAGGAGGAUAUAAAUAUGAGUGAUUCCUUGUGAAACGUAUAGAGAUUUUCUUUAUGGUCUCAAAACGAUUUCAUAUUUCUAUCACGAAAUUGUUCCAUUUAUAUACCUAGGAUUUAAAAAAAAAAUAAGAAAAGGUUUAUGUAUAACUUUAAAUUACAUGGUGUAAAAAAAUUAGUCGUUAAUUAUUAUUUUACCAACCUUUCAGAUACAAAUUAUUCCCAUUCAACUUAUAGUCCAAACAUAAAAAAAAAUGCAAUAUCGGUUUUCUGAAAAUCGGCAUUUUUAAUUUUUAUAGAAAAUUAGUAUAGGGUUCUAUACAUUAUCCUUGUUGAAACCUAACAAUUUUGUCGUAAGACCUCCAUGAGUUUCCCCAUAAUUUAUAAAAACAGUUUAUAUUCAAUAAAAACCAAACAGUCAUUUCUUGUUAUUAUUGUUAAACUGAACUGUUUUCGACCGUUCUACGAGCUACUUAAACGACGCUACUAGCUUAGAGAUAUUUAAAGUUCGUCCCACCAAAUUUUUGUUACGCAGCAGCCCGUGACCUAAGGAAAUGCAAGAUAUCCGAUUGGGAUAAGUCGGAAAACUUUAUUGUUUGUCUUGGCUGGUAGAACUAAUUUUUUUGACAUUUGAUCAUUGACAAUAGUGUUAACGGAUUUAUGAUAAACUGAGAAAAUGGCCUACAAUUUAAAAGUGAAAUCUAUUGAAUCGCAUUUCAUUGUGCUUAAAAAUUCUUAUCA